UCGGUGACUGUACCUUGACUAUAUGAAACUAUAUGUCAUGCAUCCUCUGUACUGGUAAAAAGGAAGUACUUAAUAUAUGUUGGAAUUAAGUUGUUGGAUGUUUUCCACAUCUUUUCUAAUCCCUAGGAUCCUAGGCACACAGUUUGUCCACAAUAUAUUCUCAUUGUCUUGUUGUGCUGUUUUAUCAAAUCUUACCUAUCUUCAACUGCCUUUGGACUGACACAUACUGGACCUGAGAGAUCAGCUUCCUGUCCACCAGAGGCUUGAAUUGUUAAAAAUGUUACAGGCUCAUUUUACCUCUGAUGAGUGGGUGCCACAAAAUCUCGGGAGCAGAUGUCCCUCAUUUACUCACAUUGCUCCGUCCCAUCCCUUUCUGCUGGGUCCUGAGAGCAGCCUUCUCCCUGGCACCCAGCUGGGAUUCCCACUAACCCAACUCAGGUUCAAGGGCUGAGGGAAUUCAGGAUCUGAGGGAUGGCUCAAAGACCACAUGGAGUUCAGUUUUGCAUGUUUUCUUUGAGUGCCAGCCAGCAAAGACCGUGGCCUCACAUAAUUUUUCUGCCGGGUGUGGAAUAGUGCCAUAGAAAGAUGAUUCAUGAGAAGAAAUUGUCAAGUUUCUGCCUGGAACUGAAUGGAAAAAAAUUGGUUGAAAAAAAUCCCAGACAUGCACACAGAAGAUACGUAGGACCAAAUUUAUAUCUUUAGCUUUGGGAAUCUACAUUCAUUAUUUCUCUCACUUGACUUGAAAAUGGGUAAAAAUCUGGCCACAGUGCUCUUGUUGGGUUAUAAAUAAGAUUUUUGUUUUUAUAUUAGCAUCUGGCCCAUAAUAGUCGCUAAUAUUUACUUUGUGUUGCUCAGUUUAUAAGGUGUUUUUUUCCUGUGUAUUUAAAUUGCAUAUUAGACCUGAAUAUAGGUAUUUUUCUUUUACAAUAAGAAAACUAAAUCUUUGUGAGAGCCACAUGGACAAUACCAGUGUAAGUAAUUUAAUCCAAGCCCUCUGCAUUCUUGCAACCUUUGUUUUAGCCACAAGGUGAUUCUAUUUGGUGAUUGCAUUCCAACAGCAAUUCUCUGACACCAACUGGGUGUCCUACAAUUCAAUUCAAUACAUUUUGACACUAACUAUCCCUAUUUAACAUCAGAACCCACAAGGUAAAGGGCAAGGUCCCUAAUAAUACUGCCCUUACUCACAUACCAGCUACAAACAGGGUCCCCAGGCUACCCUCACUUCAGUCUGACUUGGCAACAAAUUUAGGGGUUCCCACAACUCCCUCUGGCUCAAGAAUUCAAUAGAAUGGCUUAGGAAACUCAAGUAAGCACUAUACUUACUGUUACCAUUUUAUUAUAAAGGAUACAGAUGAAUAGCAAGAGAAAGAGAUACACAGGGCAAGGCCUUGGGGGUAGAGGUGGGGUGCAGAGCUUCCAUGGACUCCUUAUGGAAGCCUUCCAAGCCUCUGGUGGACAGGAAGCUGAUCUCUCAGGUCCAGUAUGUGUCAGUCCAAAGGCAGUUGAAGAUAGGUAAGAUUUGAUAAAACAGCACAACAAGACAAUGAGAAUAUAUUGUGGACAAACUGUGUGCCUAGGAUCCUAGGGAUUAGAAAAGAUGUGGAAAACAUCCAACAACUUAAUUCCAGGUAUGUUGCCUUCCCAGCACAUGGAUGCGUUCAUAACCCAGGAACUUCUUGGAGCCUCUCUGUUUCAGCGUUUUAUUAAGGUUCCAUUAUGCAGACAUGAUUUAUUUAAAUACCGGUCUUGGUGACUGAACCCAACCUCUCUAGUCCUUCUACCUUCCCCAGAGGUUCAGAGUGGGGCUGAAAUUCUAACUCUUUAAUCAUAUGGUUGGUUUAUCUGGGUCUUGGUGACUGAACCCAACCUCUAGUCCUUCUACCUUCCCCAGAGGUUCAGAGUGGGGCUGAAAUUCUAACUCUUUAAUCAUGUGGUUGGUUUAUCUGGGGACCAGCUCCCAUCCUAAAACUAUCUAAGAGCCCUGUAAUAAGUUACCUUAUUAGCAUAAACUCAGGUAUGGUAGAAAGAGGCUUGUUAUGAAUAACAAGACAGUUCUAUCAUUCAGCAAAGUCCAAGGGUUAUUGAAGCUGUGUGCCAGGAACUGGGGAUAAUGACCAGUUAUUUUCUGUAUAAUGUCUGUAGUAGGCAUUCCAACUAGGGCCAACAACAACACCUUCCCUUUCUGUAGGUGCAAGCUGUCCCCCACCUCAAGAGGUGGGUUUAUUUUUCCCUCCCUUGAAUGUGACUUGCUUUGACUAACAAAAGUGACAUUCUAAAACUUCUGAGCCCAAGCCUUUCAAGAACUGGCAGCUUCUAAUUUUUCUCUCUUGGAAUGCUCCCUUUUGGGAGUCAGCUGUCAUGCUUUUAGGAAAUUCAGGUUAGAUGUUUGGAAGAUGAGGAGCUGUAUUGAGAGAGAGCCUGAGGGAUGAAAGACCAUCUUGGAAGUUCCCCUCUCUGCCAAGCUCCCAGCUGAAUGCAGGCAGAUCAGUGAUGCGAAGUAUACCAUAUGGAGUAGAAGACCAUCCUAGCUGACCUAAGUCAACUUGCAGCAUUGUGAUAUGCCAUAAAUUACAGUUUUAAGCCAUUACGUUUAGGCUGGUUUGUUGCACAGCAGCAGAUAACUGAAACAUGGACCUAUUAAGAUCCUUCUGAAAGUUUAGUAUUUUGGCAACAAAAUCUCACAAAAUGUCCUUCCCAGACACACCUCAGUUAUGUAGGAUUCUAUUAUAUGCAGAAGAAUGUAAAAGUGAGGCUGAACAUAAAAAGCUUAGAGCAACAUAUCCUGUAUUAAAAAAUUACAAUAUUGGAUCUGAUUAAUUUUGAUUGUGUUUUCUCCAAUGUUUCUUUCACCUGUCUUCCUGUCACUCCUUUCCAGGUACUUUUCUGUGUCCUUCUGAUUCACUCACUUGGUGAACCUAGUACAAUAACUAACUAUAAGUUCAUGAAACUCCUUCCUAAACAUCUAUACAAGGACUUACUUUUCCAACUAGGUUUUGUUUCUCAUUAGAGACACCAUUUUCAUUACCUACAUUUUUUUGGAAUUCUGUACCCAAAGACCCAACAAUGCAGUGGUAUUUACAGAAAAAGGAAACUUACAUUCUUGUGACAAGUUUAAAAAAAGAACCUGGUUGGCAGGGUGGAUCUACUUCACGCUGUCAUCCAGGGACCCAGGUUUCUUGUAUUACCAGCAUAAGAAUUAGAGUAGCUGCCAUCUGCUAGGUCGAUGCUGGGUUCCUAUGGUUCCUGAGAGAUGGAAACAGUCAUGGAGAGCUCAUGUGCAAUAUUUUGUACCAAGGUCUGGAAAUGACUCAUAGCACUUCUAUUUUCUGUUAAGAAUCUAGUCACGUGGCCACACCUGGUAAUCACCAGCUGAGUAGCCAUGUGCCCAGAUGCCAUUUUACUAUUAUAGAAGCCACAUACUCAGCUUCCACAUAAUACAAAAGAAGAAAGAAUAAGUUUUGGUAAAUAAUUAGAAAUAUGUGCCACAGACCAUACACACCAUGAAAUACUAUGCAGCCAUAAAAAAGGAUGAGCUCAUGUCCUUUGCAGGGACAUGGAUGAAGCUGGAAACCAUCAUUCUCAGUAAACUAUCACAAGGACAGAAAACCAAACACCGCAUGUUCUCACUCAUAGGUGGGAAUUGAACAAUAAGAACACAUGGACAUAGGGCGGGGAAGAUCACACCCCAGGGCCUGUCAUGGGGUGGGGGUCGGGGGAGAAAUAGCAUUAGGAGAAACACCUAAUGUAAAUGACCAGUUAAUGGGUACAGCAAACCAACAUGGCACAUGUAUACCUAUGUAACAAACCUGCACAUUGUGCACAUGUACCCUAGAACUUAAAGUAUAAUACAAAAAAAAAAUGCCCCAGACAUGUCGCAGUUUUUGAAAGCAAUUUUUUAAAAAGUGGAAACUGGCAUUCAAAAAUCUGAACAAUGGCAGCGGGAUCAUUGUAAUAAUCGCUUUGGCUAACAAGCGUAAUACUUUAAAGUAGUAAGAAGGCUAAUCCUUUAAAGGGACGAAUCUUUUGUUUUAUGCAUGUAUAAAGUCUGAGAUGUUUGUUUCAACCGUUCAUUAAAGCAUUUUUAGUCGUAGCUAAUAUUUUACCCCUUCGUGACUUCUAUCUUCUUCUAGGAGCCAAGCCUAAGAAGGCAUCAACUCAACAGCUUCAGGUCCCAAGGAGAUGUGGUAUAAUUGGCACACAGCAGUUCACAUUCUGCUUGCUAGCGACUUCAAAACACUCCUCAAAUAAAUCCAAGCUCUAUGCCCCCCCAAAACUGAACCCAUGGACUGCUUCAUGUGGGCUCACUUGCCCUCUGCUUCUGGCUGAUUUGGCAAUGGAGACAUACAGAGGAGAUCAGAAGGUGGGAGGAGAGAAAGGUUGGUGUGUUCAUUCCUCCAAUCCCCACCUUGCCUCUUGCACAGCUCCAGCCUCAGGCUAGUUCUUGGUCCUUUCACCAUGCUUCAUUGAUUCCUGAAACCUGCUACCACCUGUGUAAAUAGUAUCAACAUUAAAUAACUCUUCAGUUAAA